rnacentral:misc_RNA from 1 species
UCUGAGUCGAGAAGAAGAAAUCCACUUCCUUCUGCAUUUCCAUCUUUAUCUCCUAGGCAGGAGACCAUUAUAUCUCCAGAAGCAAGGCAAUGGGCAGUGUGUGGAUAGGCUAAUCCCGUCUUCUGUACAAUAUCUGCCGGUUCAACAACUUUGUGCAGUGAUGGAGCCUUUGGAUCUUUUUGGGUGUCAACAACAUAGAUGCGACCAGAUAUCAAUGAAGGCAGGAUUAGGAAACGCCUGUUUGCAGAUGGUUCUCCAUGGCAAGAGCUGCAAGCAUUCCACCCUGAAUGAUGCAGUUCAUCUCCUACAUAUGGCACAGGUAGCCUACUGAUAACUUUAGAAUAAGCAGGUGAGUUUGGAUCUACAUCCACUGUGGCUAGAUAAUCAGGCUUCUCUCUUCCCGUUCCAG